rnacentral:rRNA from 1 species
CACGUAGGGGGCAAGCGUUGUCCGGAUUUAUUGGGCGUAAAGAGCUCGUAGGCGGCUCAGUAAGUCAGGUGUGAAACCUCCAGGCUCAACCUGGAGACGCCACCUGAUACUGCUGUGGCUAGAGUCCGGUAGGGGAGCGUGGAAUUCCUGGUGUAGCGAUGAAAUGCGCAGAUAUCAGGAGGAACACCAGCGGCGAAGGCGGCGCUCUGGGCCGGAACUGACGCUGAGGAGCGAAAGCGUGGGUAGCAAACAGG